rnacentral:rRNA from 1 species
GAUGAACGCUGGCGGCGUGCCUAAUACAUGCAAGUCGAACGCAUUGAGAAAAGUGCUUGCACUUUUCAAUUUGAGUGGCGAACGGGUGAGUAACACGUGGGCAACCUACCUGAUAGCGGGGGAUAACGAGUGGAAACAUUCGCUAAUACCGCAUAACAAUAGAGAAGGCAUCUUCUUUAUUUAAAAGGCGCUUUCAAGCGUCACUAUCAGAUGGGCCCGCGGUGCAUUAGUUAGUUGGUGGGGUGAAGGCCUACCAAGACGAUGAUGCAUAGCCGGGUUGAGAGACUGAUCGGCCACAUUGGGACUGAGACACGGCCCAAACUCCUACGGGAGGCUGCAGUAGGGAAUCUUCCACAAUGGACGAAAGUCUGAUGGGGCAACGCCGCGUGUGUGAUGAAGGCUUUCGGGUCGUAAAGCACUGUUGUAUGGGAAGAAAUGCUAGGCUAGGAAAUGAGCUUAGUUUGACGGUACCAUACCAGAAAGGGACGGCUAAAUACGUGCCAGCCGCCGCUGUAA